UUAUUUUGUUUGUUGCUCUUUGUUUAUUAACUUCAAUAACUUCAACAGUACCAAAACAUAAAAAACAAACAACAUGUGUGAAAAUCAUUAAACAUUAUUUAUGGUGUGUUUUGUUUGUUGUUUGUUUUUGUUUAUUAUUGUUUGCUUGUUAACGUAGGAGAAAAAACAAACAAACAAACACACAAACAAAUUCCUAUCUAUACAACUCGUCUGAAUCGACCUCAGCUUAUAAUAAUCUCCGUAUUUGAUGGAUUUAACUGAUAAAUAUUUCCCACACUUGAGAUUCUUCUUCCUGUCACAUGACCUGGGGGUGUGGCUAGCGGUAAGGCUGGGGGCGGGGCUGGGGGCGGGGCUGGCAGGGACCUGUUGUGAUGCAGAAACUUAUUAUUCUACCUCAUUUAACACACCUGAUUUAAUUUAUUAGCUAAUUAGUCGUGACUUCAGAGGCUUAGUAAAGGGAAAAGACAAAGAUCAGUGCAGCUGUGGCUCAACACAUCCAGAGUGACAACACACACACACACACACACACACACACACACACACACACACACACACACACACACACACACACACACACACACACACACACCUACCUACCUACCUACCUCUGAGCUUGCAGUAAGCAGCUUCCAACAAUCCACAUCAUUUCAGUCAUACAGAGAGCAGCGUGAGAACAGACACAUCCGGACCUGAGAGGAACCGAGCCCAUGGAGAACCGUCUCAGGGGAGCACAACUGAGAGAACUUGUGUUGAUGCUGAGGGAAUUACACUCAGUGUCAAGCUCAGGACAUGGACAUAGGAGUGUGUGUGUGUUCUGAGUGUUUAUGUGAAUACACUGUGGUCAGACAGAAUGACCAAAUAAUCCCAUGAUGCAUCACUCUGUUGUUGUUGUUGUUGUCGUUUGUUGUUAUUGUUUUUUUUCCAUCAUAGACUGUAAGAGAAUAAAACGAUAAGAGAGAAAACACACUCUAUAUUUUGCACCACA